CACAACCGGCGAACGGGUGCGUAACACGUGAGCAACCUACCGAUUUGUGGGGGAUAGCCGGCCCAACGGCCGGGUAAUACCGCAUACGCUUGUACGGCCCCCUGGCCUAACAAGGAAACCUCCGGGGCAAAUCGAGGGGCUCGCGGCCUAUCAGCUAGUUGGCGAGGUCACGGCUCACCAAGGCGACGACGGGUAGCUGGUCUGAGAGGAUGGCCAGCCACAUUGGGACUGAGAAACGGCCCAG
rnacentral:rRNA from 1 species